AGAGUUUGAUCCUGGCUCAGAACGAACGCUGGCGGCAGGCCUAACACAUGCAAGUCGAACGAUGCCUUCGGGCAUAGUGGCGCACGGGUGAGUAACACGUGGGAACAUACCUUUUGGUGGGGGAUAACUUCGGGAAACUGAAGCUAAUACCGCAUACGCCCCUUGGGGGAAAGAUUUAUCGCCGAAAGAUUGGCCCGCGUCCGAUUAGCUAGUUGGUGAGGUAAUGGCUCACCAAGGCUCCGAUCGGUAGCUGGUCUGAGAGGAUGACCAGCCGCACUGGGACUGAGACACGGCCCAGACUCCUACGGGAGGCAGCAGUGGGGAAUAUUGGACAAUGGGCGCAAGCCUGAUCCAGCCAUGCCGCGUGAGUGAUGAAGGCCUUAGGGUUGUAAAGCUCUUCACCCACGACGAUGAUGACGGUAGUGGAGAGA
rnacentral:rRNA from 1 species